AAUUCAAAACAACGCAAACGUCCUAUGUCAUCUUUUCUCAGUGUGUUCGCAUUUGUUCUAUACACCCUUUUCUCGGUAAAUCGACGCAUCUGUCAAAACAAAAUAACAUCGCGCACACUGCAGAUAGGAUCGUAGUAAACCGACAGAUAUAAUCGAGCUUGAAACGUGAACCAUUGAACCUUUUUGUUACGAUGGAUUCCAGUUGUUGGCAUGUUUUGCUACUACGUUGAACUGCAGGCCUCCAUUGGGAGAAAGCUUACUAUUGAACACAAGUUGAUGAAAACUGGGCACUCCCAUAUGGAGGUUGACACUGUUCAUGCGGCGAUUGAGAGAGCGAAACGAAGGACGACGGCUAAUAUUGAAAUACCGCAUGACUGGGCUUUAUUUAUUUCUGCGAUUACACGGUCUGUACCAUUCAAAGUAAUUGAACUGCAGCAAAAACACUUCCUUACUUUUAAGCUUCUUUGUGACCGGUACUCUAUGCCAAAAAAGACACCGGAAGGAGAAAUGGUGAGAUUUAAAGACAUCAUGGUGUUUAGGUACAGCACUGACGCUCCAGGGAAAGUUUCUUACAAAUACGACCCAGGGCAAGACUUUUUCGAAACUGUUCAUCUUUUACAGCAAACGGCGAAGGUCGAGAAUAUUACGUUGCAUCCCCUGAACACUGAGCCACUGACUUUACCGGAUGCCAAACUCAACGACCUUCGGGGUCUUCUGCCAUAUAUAUGCAAGCAAGAUUAUUAUAAGACAUUCCUGAAAAAAUUGGUUCCUACCAAGAGGGGACGUAAAGCUAAGUCAAUUAAAGAAGAUAAUUUCGAAGACGAUAUGGAUGCAGAAGUAGCAGAAGAAGAAAUGCCACUAGAUUGAUUUGCUUACUUUUUUUUCCACUACUUUUUGUUUAUUGUUCCAUGUUUAUUUAAAUGUAAAAAUAAACUUUUACACAAAAGCUA